AGGAUGAACGCUAGCGGCAGGCUUAAUACAUGCAAGUCGAGGGGCAGCACAGGUAGCAAUACUGGGUGGCGACCGGCAAACGGGUGCGGAACACGUACGCAACCUUCCUUUAAGCGGGGAAUAGCCCAGGGAAACUUGGAUUAAUACCCCAUAAGAUUAUGGUGUGGCAUCACACAGUAAUUAAAGCUCCGGCACUUAAAGAUGGGCGUGCGGCUGAUUAGGUAGUUGGCGGGGUAACGGCCCACCAAGCCAACGAUCAGUAACUGGUGUGAGAGCACGACCAGUCACGCGGGCACUGAGACACGGGCCCGACUCCUACGGGAGGCAGCAGUAAGGAAUAUUGGUCAAUGGACGCAAGUCUGAACCAGCCAUGCCGCGUGGAGGAUGAAGGCCCUCUGGGUUGUAAACUUCUUUUAUCUGGGAAGAAACCCAUCUUUUCUAAGGUGGUUGACGGUACCAGUUGAAUAGCACGGCUAACUCCGUGCCAGCAGCCGC
rnacentral:rRNA from 1 species